rnacentral:rRNA from 1 species
CAGCAGCCGCGGUAAUACCAGCGCCACGAGUGGCAGCCGCGAUUAUUGGGCCUAAAGCGUCCGUAGCUGGUUAGGAAAAUCUUUUGUGAAAUCGUCAGGCUUAACCUGACGGCGUGCUUAAGACACUACCUAGCUCGAGACCGGGAGGAGUGAGAGGUAUUCCACGGGGAGCGGUUAAAUGUGAUAAUCCGUGGAAGAUCACCUAUGGCGAAGGCAUCUCACCAGAACGGAUCUGACAGUCAGGGACGAAGGCCAGGGGAGCGAUCCGGAUUAGAUACCCGAGUAGUCCUGGCAGUAAACGCUGCGAGCAAGAUGUUGCACAUCUCACGAGGAUGUGCAGUGUCGAAGCGAAGGCAUUAAGCUCGCCGCCUGGGAAGUACGGUCGCAAGACUGAAACUUUAAGGAAUUGGCGGGGGAGCACCACAAGGGGUGCGGCGUGCGGUUUAAUCUAACUCAACGCAGAGAACCUUACUAGAAGCGACGGCAGGAAGAAGGUCAGUCUGAAGGGCUUACCAGACGAGCCGAGAGGUAGUGCAUGGCCGCCGUCAGCUCGUGCCGUAAGGUGUCCAGUUAAGUCUGGCAACGAGCGAGACCUGUACCCUCUAUUGCUAACGGCCGCUUGCGGGGCCGAGCACUUUGAGGGGACUGCCUUGGAAACAAGGAGGAAGGUGCAGGCAACGGUAGGUCUGUAUGCUCCGAAUCUUCUAGGCUACACGCGCGCAACAAUGGUAAUGACAAUGGGCUGCAACUCCGAAAGGAGAAGCUAAUCCUCGAAACAUUACCCCAGUUCGGAUUGUGGGCUGUAACUCACCCACAUGACGCCGGAAUCCCUAGUAAUCAGACGUCAUCAUCGUCUGGUGAAUAUGUCCCUGCCCCUUGCACAC